rnacentral:rRNA from 1 species
CGGGUGAGUAAUGCUUGGGAAUCUAGCUUAUGGAGGGGGAUAACUACGGGAAACUGUAGCUAAUACCGCGUAGAAUCGGGAGAUGAAAGUGUGGGACCUUCGGACCACAUGCCAUAGGAUGAGCCCAAGUGGGAUUAGGUAGUUGGUGAGGUAAAGGCUCACCAAGCCGACGAUCUCUAGCUGGUCUGAGAGGAUGACCAGCCACACUGGGACUGAGACACGGCCCAG